rnacentral:rRNA from 1 species
AUACGGAGGAUCCGAGCGUUAUCCGGAUUUAUUGGGUUUAAAGGGAGCGUAGGUGGAUUGUUAAGUCAGUUGUGAAAGUUAGCGGCUCAACCGUAAAAUUGCAGUUGAAACUGGCAGUCUUGAGUACAGUAGAGGUGGGCGGAAUUCGUGGUGUAGCGGGGAAAUGCUUAGAUAUCACGAAGAACUCCGAUUGCGAAGGCAGCUCACUAGACUGUUACUGACACUGAUGCUCGAAAGUGUGGGUAUCAAACAGGAUUAGAUACCCUGGUAGUCCACACAGUAAACGAUGAAUACUCGCUGUUUGCGAUAUACAGUAAGCGGCCAAGCGAAAGCAUUAAGUAUUCCACCUGGGGAGUACGCCGGCAACGGUGAAACUCAAAGGAAUUGGCGGGG